rnacentral:rRNA from 1 species
GGAUUCCCUAGUACGGCGAGUGAAGCGGGAAGAGCUCAAAUUUGAAAUCUGGUGGCCUCAGGUCAUCCGAGUUGUAAUCUAUAGAAGUGUUUUCCGUGCUGGCUCAUGUACAAGUCCCUUGGAACAGGGCGUCAUAGAGGGUGAGAAUCCCGUCCUUGACAUGAACUACCAGUGCUCUGUGAUACAUUUUCAACGAGUCGAGUUGUUUGGGAAUGCAGCUCAAAAUGGGUGGUAAAUUCCAUCUAAAGCUAAAUAUUGGCGAGAGACCGAUAGCGAACAAGUACCGUGAGGGAAAGAUGAAAAGCACUUUGGAAAGAGAGUUAAACAGUAUGUGAAAUUGUUGAAAGGGAAACGAUUGAAGUCAGUCGUGCUCUUUGGAUUCAGCCGGUUCUGCCGGUGUACUUCCUUUGAGUGGGGUCAACAUCAGUUUUGAUCGCUGGAUAAAGGCUGGAGGAACGUAGUACCCUCGGGUAAACUUAUAGCCUCCUGUCACAUACAGUGGUUGGGACUGAGGAACGCAGCACGCCUUUAUGGCCGGGAUUCGUCCACGUACGUGCUUAGGAUGUUGACAUAAUGGCUUUAAACGAC